GAUGAACGCUGGCGGCGUGCCUAAUACAUGCAAGUCGAGCGAACAGACGAGGAGCUUGCUCCUCUGACGUUAGCGGCGGACGGGUGAGUAACACGUGGAUAACCUACCUAUAAGACUGGGAUAACUUCGGGAAACCGGAGCUAAUACCGGAUAAUAUAUUGAACCGCAUGGUUCAAUAGUGAAAGACGGUUUUGCUGUCACUUAUAGAUGGAUCCGCGCCGCAUUAGCUAGUUGGUAAGGUAACGGCUUACCAAGGCAACGAUGCGUAGCCGACCUGAGAGGGUGAUCGGCCACACCGGAACUGAGACACGGUCCAGACUCCUACGGGAGGCAGCAGUGGGGAAUCUUCCGCAAUGGGCGAAAGCUUGACGGAGCAACGCCGCGUGAGUGAUGAAGGUCUUCGGAUCGUAAAACUCUGUUAUUAGGGAAGAACAAAUGUGUAAGUAACUAUGCACGUCUUGACGGUACCUAAUCAGAAAGCCACGGCUAACUACGUG
rnacentral:rRNA from 1 species